rnacentral:rRNA from 1 species
CGUGGCUAACCUGCCCUUGGGACGGAAGCACCCCCGGGAAACUGGGGCUAAUUUCCGAUAGGGGAAGACUCCUGGAAUGGAUUUUCGCCUAAAAGGCGCUUAGAGCAUGCUUCUAGGCGUUGCCCAAGGAUGGGGCCGCGGCCGAUCAGGUUGUUGGUGAGGUAACGGCUCACCAAGCCUUUAACCGGUGCGGGCCGUGGGAGCGGGAGCCCGGAGAUGGGCACUGAGACAAGGGCCCAGGCCCUAUGGGGCGCAGCAGUCGCGAAAACUUCGCAAUAAGCGAAAGCUUGACGGGGCUAUCCCGAGUGCCAUCCGCUGAGGAUGGCUUUUCCCUAGUAUAGAUAGCUGGGGGAAAAAGGAGAGGGCAAGUCUGGUGUCAGCCGCCGCGGUAAUACCAGCUCUCCGAGUGGUGGGGAUGAUUAUUGGGCCUAAAGCAUCCGUAGCCGGCUGGGCAAGUCCCCUGUUAAACCCAGCGAUCUAAUCGUUGGCCUGCGGGGGAUACUGCUUGGCUAGGGGGCGAGAGAGGCCGUCGGUAUUCCCGGGGUAGGGGUGAAAUCCUAUAAUCCCGGGAGGACCACCAGUGGCGAAGGCUGUCGGCUAGAACGCGCCCGACGGUGAGGGAUGAAAGCUGGGGGAGCGAACCGGAUUAGAUACCCGGGUAGUCCCAGCUGU